UCCGUGUUCACCACGGCAGUCUCUCUAGAGAGCCCAACUGAAUGCUGGCAACUAAAGAUAAGGGUUGCGCUCGUUGCGGGACUUAACCCAACAUGUCACCACACGAGCUGACGACAGCCAUGCAGCACCUGUCUUCCGGUCGUAUUGCUACGAAAGCCGUAUUUCUACGGUUGUCCGAAGAUGUCAAGCCUAGGUAAGGUUCUGCGCGUUGCUUCGAAUUAAACCACAUGAUCCACCGCUUGUGCGGGCCCCCGUCAAUUCCUUUGAGUUUUAGUCUUGCGACCGUACUUCCCAGGCGGGGUACUUAGCGCGUUAGCUCCGACUCGGCAGGGGUCAAGUCCCACCAAGUCUAGUACCCAUCGUUUACAGCGUGGACUAC
rnacentral:misc_RNA from 1 species